rnacentral:rRNA from 1 species
GAUGAACGCUGGCGGCGUGCCUAAUACAUGCAAGUCGAGCGAACGGACGAGAAGCUUGCUUCUCUGACGUUAGCGGCGGACGGGUGAGUAACACGUGGAUAACCUACCUAUAAGACUGGGAUAACUUCGGGAAACCGGAGCUAAUACCGGAUGAUAUCUUGAACCGCAUGGUUCAAUAGUGAAAGACGGUCUUGCUGUCACUUAUAGAUGGAUCCGCGCUGCAUUAGCUAGUUGGUAAGGUAACGGCUUACCAAGGCAACGAUGCAUAGCCGACCUGACAGGGUGAUCGGCCACACUGGAACUGAGACACGGUCCAGACUCCUACGGGAGGCAGCAGUAGGGAAUCUUCCGCAAUGGGCGAAAGCCUGACGGAGCAACGCCGCGUGAGUGAUGAAGGUCUUCGGAUCGUAAAACUCUGUUAUUAGGGAAGAACAUAUGUGUAAGUAACUGUGCACAUCUUGACGGUACCUAAUCAGAAAGCCACGGCUAACUACGUG